rnacentral:rRNA from 1 species
UGGGGCCGGGCGAAUUUCGCCCUUUCAGAUCGAACGCUGGCGGCAUGCCUAACACAUGCAAGUCGAACGAGACCUUCGGGUCUAGUGGCGGACGGGUGAGUAACGCGUGGGAACCUGCACUUCAGUGGGGGAUAACGACGGGAAACUGUCGCUAAUACCGCAUACGCCCUACGGGGGAAAGAUUUAUCGCUGAAGGAUGGGCCCGCGUCGGAUUAGCUAGUUGGUGAGGUAACGGCUCACCAAGGCGACGAUCCGUAGCUGGUCUAAGAGGAUGAUCAGCCACACUGGGACUGAGACACGGCCCAGACUCCUACGGGAGGCAGCAGUGGGGAAUAUUGGACAAUGGGGGAAACCCUGAUCCAGCAAUGCCGCGUGAGUGAUGAAGGCCUUAGGGUUGUAAAGCUCUUUCGGCGGGGACGAUGAUGACGGUACCCGCAGAAGAAGCCCCGGCUAACUUCGUGCCAGCAGCCGCGGUAAGACGAAGGGGGCUAGCGUUGUUCGGAAUUACUGGGCGUAAAGCGCACGUAGGCGGCCUUUCAAGUCAGGUGUGAAAGCCCCGAGCUUAACUCGGGAACUGCACUUGUUACUGUUGGGCUAGAGACCGGGAGAGGAUAGCGGAAUUCCCAGUGUAGAGGUGAAAUUCGUAGAUAUUGGGAAGAACACCAGUGGCGAAGGCGGCUAUCUGGACCGGUACUGACGCUGAGGUGCGAAAGCGUGGGGAGCAAACAGGAUUAGAUACCCUGGUAGUCCACGCCGUAAACGAUGAGUGCUAGACGUCGGGGAGCUUGCUUUUUCGGUGUCGCAGCUAACGCAUUAAGCACUCCGCCUGGGGAGUACGGCCGCAAGGUUAAAAACUCAAAGGAAUUGACGGGGGCCCGCACAAGCGGUUGGAGCAUGUGGUUUAAUUCGAUGCAACGCGAAGAACCUUUACCAGCCCUUUGACAUACUAGGUUUCGACUUCCGAGAGAUUGGAGUUUUCAGUUCGGCUGGGCCUAGUACAGGUGCUGCAUGGCUGUCCGUCAGCUCGUGUCGUGAGAUGUUUGGGUUAAGUCCCCGCCAACGAGCCGCAACCCUCACCUUUCAGUKGCCAUCAGGGUAUAUGCUGGGSACUCUGAAGAAACUGCCGGUGACAAGCCGGAGGAAGGUGGGGAUGACGUCAAGUCCUCAUGGCCCUUACGGGCUGGGCUACACACGUGCUACAAUGGCGGUGACAGUGGGAUGCGAUGGCGCAAGCCGGAGCGAAUCUCCAAAAGCCGUCUCAGUUCGGAUUGCACUCUGCAACUCGGGUGCAUGAAGUCGGAAUCGCUAGUAAUCGUGGAUCAGCAUGCCACGGUGAAUACGUUCCCGGGCCUUGUACACACCGCCCGUCACACCAUGGGAGUUGGUUUUACCUUAAGACGGUGCGCUAACCGCAAGGAGGCAGCCGGCCACGGUAAGGUCAGCGACUGGGGUGAAGUCGUAACAAGGUAGCCGUAGGGGAACCUGCGGCUGGAUCACCUCCUU